rnacentral:rRNA from 1 species
GACGGGUGAGUAAUGUUACGGGAUCUGCCUGAUGGAGGGGGAUAACUACUGGAAACGGUAGCUAAUACCGCAUAAUGUCUUCGGACCAAAGCGGGGGACCUUCGGGCCUCUUGCCAUCGGAUGUGCCCAGAUGGGAUUAGCUAGUAGGUGGGGUAACGGUCACCUAGGCGACGAUCCCUAGCUGGUCUGAGAGGAUGACAGCACACUGGAACUGAGACACGGUCCUCGAGACUCCUACGGGAGGCAGCAGUGGGGAAUAUUGCACAAUGGGCGCAAGCCUGAUGCAGCCAUGCCGCGUGUAUGAAGAAGGCCUUCGGGUCUGUCAAAGUCACUUUCAGCGGGGAGGAAGGUGUCGAGGUCAAUUAGCCUCAGAAUUGGACGUAGCCGAGAAGAAGCACCGGCUAACUCCGNGCCAGACAGUCCGCGGUAAAUCACGGAAGGGUCGCAAAGGCCGUAAAUCCGCGAAAUUCACUACGCGGACCGGUCAAAAGAGCGCAGACNCCAGCGCACGGGNCCNAGUUCAAACUCCGGGCANUGGUCGACGACACGCGCGCCCAAGGGGGANUAAAGAAGACACUAGGGGGAAAAACGCUAGCCAGC